rnacentral:rRNA from 1 species
AACAAAAACAUGUCUUUUUGAUUAUAAUUUAAAGUCUAACCUGCCCAAUGAAUAAUUUGAAUGGCCGCGGUAUUUUGACCGUGCUAAGGUAGCAUAAUAAUUAGUUUUUUAAUUGAAAACUGGUAUGAAUGGUUGAACGAGGAAAAAUCUGUCUCAAUUUAAUUUAAUUAGAAUUUUAUUUUUAAGUAAAAAAGCUUAAAUAAUUUUAAAAGACGAGAAGACCCUAUAGAGUUUUAUAAUUAAUUAUUAAUUAGAUUAUUAGGAUUAUUUUUUUAAUUUUUAAUUGAUUAUUUUGUUGGGGUGACAAAAAAAUUUAAUAAACUUUUUUUAUAUAUUUUCAUUGAUUUAUGAAUAAAUGAUCCAUUUUUUAUGAUUAUAAGAUUAAAUUACCUUAGGGAUAACAGCGUAA